AAAAACAUCAAGCGCGGCUUGGUCUUGGGUGGGGUCUCUGGACCCGCCUGUAACUGGUUGGCGGCACCGCCCGGCUUUAAGCGUAGCAAGUUUUACCCUCGCUUCGGAGCCUGUGUGGGGACUAGCCCAAGGUACCUCUAAA
rnacentral:misc_RNA from 1 species